CAAGGCGUAGCUAUAACUUCAAAGCAUUCAGCUUACACCUGAAAGAUACCCUCAACAGACAAGGUCGCCUUGA
rnacentral:tRNA from 7 species